UACGUAGGGGGCUAGCGUUGUCCGGAAUCAUUGGGCGUAAAAAGCGUGUAGGCGGCCCGGUAAGUCCGCUGUGAAAGUCAAGGGCUCAACCCUUGAGUGCCGGUGGAUACUGCAGGGCUAGAGUCCGGAAGAGGCGAGUGGAAUUCCUGGUGUAGCGGUGAAAUGCGCAGAUAUCAGGAGGAACACCGAUGGCGAAGGCAGCUCGCUGGGACGGUACUGACGCUGAGGCGCGAAAGCGUGGGGAGCAAACAGG
rnacentral:rRNA from 1 species